rnacentral:rRNA from 1 species
UUAGGAAUAUUCGUCAAUGGGGGAAACCCUGAACGAGCAAUGCCGCGUGAACGAAGAAGGUCCUCUGGAUUGUAAAGUUCUGUUGUUAGGGACGAACGACCAGUAUAGGAAAUGAUACUGGAGUGACGGUACCUUUCAAGAAAGCUCCGGCUAACUACGUGCCAGCAGCCGCGGUAAUACGUAGGGAGCGAGCGUUAUCCGGAUUUAUUGGGUGUAAAGGGUGCGUAGGCGGAUUAAUAAGUUGGUGGUCUAAGCCCGAAGCUUAACUUCGGUUCGCCACCAAAACUGUUAACCUUGAGUAUGGUAGAGGCAAGUGGAAUUUCUAGUGUAGCGGUUAAAUGCGUAGAUAUUAGAAGGAACAUCAGUGGCGAAGGCGACUUGCUGGGCCAACACUGACGCUGAGGCACGAAAGCGUGGGGAGCAAAUAGG